rnacentral:rRNA from 1 species
CGUAAUCAUUUGUCUUUUAAAUGAAGACCAGUAUGAAUGGCAUAACGAGGGCCAAGCUGUCUCCUUUUUCCAGUCAAUGAAAUUGAUCCCCCUGUGCAGAAGCAGGGACACAAACAUAAGACGAGAAGACCCUAUGGAGCUUAAGACACAAGACAGUUCAUGUUAAAAAACCAUAUUAAUGGAAAAAACCAAAUGACCCCUGUCCUUUUGUCUUUGGUUGGGGCGACCAUGGAGUAACAAAAAACCCCCAUGUGGAACAGGGCCCAGGCCCUUAAAGCUAGAGCCACAGCUCUAACAAACAGAACAUCUGACCUUCAAGAUCCGGCAAGACCGAUCAACGGACCGAGUUACCCUAGGGAUAACAGCGCAAUCCCCUUUUAGAGCCCAUAUCGACAAGGGGGUUUACGACCUCGAUGUUAGAUCAGGACACCCUAAUGGUGCAGCCGCUAUUAAGGGUUCGUUUGUUCAACGAUU